GGUUCUCUCCGAAAUAGCUUUAGGGCUAGCCUCGAGGUAAAGAGUCAUGGAGGUAGAGCACUGUUUGGACUAGGGGCCCUUCUCGGGUUACCGAAUUCAGAUAAACUCCGAAUGCCAUGUACUUAUACUCGGGAGUCAGACUGCGAGUGAUAAGAUCCGUAGUCGAAAGGGAAACAGCCCAGACCACCAGUUAAGGUCCCCAAAUAUAUGUUAAGUGGAAAAGGAUGUGGGGUUGCUUAGACAACCAGGAUGUUGGCUUAGAAGCAGCCACCAUUGAAAGAGUGCGUAAUAGCUCACUGGUCGAGUGACCCCGCGCCGAAAAUGUACCGGGGCUAAACAUAUUACCGAAACUGUGGAUGAACCUCUUUAGAGGUUCGUGGUAGGAGAGCGUUCUAAGGGCGGUGAAGUCAGACCGGAAGGACUGGUGGAGCGCUUAGAAGUGAGAAUGCCGGUAUGAGUAGCGAAAGAAGGGUGAGAAUCCCUUCCACCGAAUAUCUAAGGUUUCCUGAGGAAGGCUCGUCCGCUCAGGGUUAGUCGGGACCUAAGCCGAGGCCGAUAGGCGUAGGCGAUGGACAACAGGUAGAGAUUCCUGUACCAGUGCUAAUUGUUUAACCGAUGGGGUGACACAGAAGGAUAGGGAAUCGCACGAAUGGAAAUGUGCGUCCAAGCAGUGAGUGUGAGAA
rnacentral:rRNA from 1 species